ACAACCCUCUAUUAUACUUCCCAAACACUUCUAGGAAUUAACAUGGCACUUGUGGAGUGGGCUGCCCUCCUCCUCCUUCCUUUUACUUCUUUAUCUCUCCUGUUUAUUCUGUAAAGAUCUCACUGAACUGGAGGAGCGUUUCAAUAAACAGCCCUCUAGCGCUAUCUGGCGGGACUCCAAUCAUUUCAGCAAACUUUCAGCUUCUCCUCAGCCCCUCAAGACGGCCGCUUUUCCCCCCUUCUGCUUUGUACUGGUAAACGGCUACACAACUGGAAGUCGUUUUCGAAGGUGCUGAUGCUCCGCUUGGUUCCAAACCAAGAGUUCACUAACCGCAGAAUGUCAGAAGAUUAGAAACAGGCUUUUGCGGCUUUCUUUUCCCUCCCCUCUCCCCUCUCCUCUCUCCUCUCCCCUUAAAUAGUGGCCGUUAUAUCAUCCUCAUCACCACGGUCGCCACUACCAUCCUCCUCCUCUUAUGUGGCUUAAUUUCCAAUGUUCCAAAAUCCAUCGUAGGAUUUUUUUUUUCCCCCAACGCCAAAAAUGCACUCAUGAAAUCCUGUCCCUGUUACUCCUUUAACUUCUAGACAGCGCCCGGACCUUGUGGCAUAAGGUGAACCCCUAAUCCUCGCCCUUUUCUCCCCCGCUUUGCUUAAAUGCAACCUUCUCCUCGGGUUGAGGGCAAGGGGGCAGCCGGUCCUUUGUAUUCUAGAUUUGGAGGAAGGAAAGGAUCCCAGCGCAAUUUCGUUUUCCGAAGUCCGAUCCUUGGAGAGGAAAGGGGGGGGGGAAGCUAUCCCUCAAAUGCAAAAAGGGGCCCAGGACGAGGCUAGCUCGGCAGAAGGGCUGCUCGAUUCCUGGCAAAAGGGCUGCUUGAUUCCUUUAAAUCAGGGGAAACUUAGAUUUCUUUGAACACAAGGACAUCCUAGCGCUCCCAGUCUGCCCAAAAAGGACUGGAAUAUUAGGUUGCCUUCUCCCUUGGGUCUAAUGGAUCUCAGCUAGCUUUGCGUAUUUAUUUGCCAGGAAAGUCUGUUCCAGUUCAAUGGGCUUCCUUUAGGAGAAGAGCCGCCUAGGCUUGCGCGUAAAAGGAGUUGUGGAUCGUGCCGGAAAGAACCGGAUUCCACCGCCUACAGGCGCCUACACCGCCUUUGGCACCCCUGCCCAAGGCCCAUCCGCCGAAAGGAAGCCCCAUUUGUGGGAGAUGAAAUGCCUGUACUGGACCAGUCAGUUUCAGUUCGGGAAAGGCAAGUUGGCUCCGAAAAGACCCGGGCAGUUUCUGAAGAGAAAGAAAGAGAGAGAAAGAAAGAAAGAAAGAGAGAAAUAUACACUUUGUGGCCGGCCCUGUCCAGCUCUUUCUCUCUCUCCAGCACUCGGGUCGCCUGACUGCACUUUUCAUUUUCUUUUUAAUGAAUCUCCCCCUCGGUGCCCUGCACGGAGAAAGUAAUCCUGGUGAUUUUGUGCUACUUGCAAAAGGGCCUUUUGGUGACGGCCCUGCCGAGGCUAAGCUCUGCCGUAAUUAAUUGAAAACAGUUAUUAGGUCGUCAUUGGCAAUAGCGUAAAUAAUUACGAUAGGUUUUUACUUAAAACUGACCGGUCACCUGGGGGGAGGGGAAGAGAGGGAGGAAUCGAUUGGAAGGUAUAAAAAUGAUGGAUCAAAACAUCAAUGCCGAUUAUUUGAAAUAUUGUAGUCGAAUCUUUUUUUAAAAAAAAAUUAUUGCUUCCAUCGGUUUAAGUGUCUGAAAAGUGCAAUGUUCCAACAUAUAUUUAUGUUGUCAAUAACAUAACGUGUCAAAACUGUCACGUUUAUUACAGCGGGGUUGUAAUACAUUUCGGAGUUCCUUAUUUAUAUUAAAUCGCCUACUUUUCUUCGAACUGCCUGCCACAACUUUGCCUUCUAUCCAGGAGAAAAGCUGAGAAACCCUGGCAAAGUUCACGAAGGAUGCCGGGCUUUUUAUCCCAGCACAAGUAGACAGUCAAGCCAACCGUUUUCCUAAAUUCCUCUUUCUUUCCCGCCUUGCCCGAAGGAAGCUUUCGCCUCGCCGGUGGAAAUCCAGACUGUUGGACGUCGCUUUCGAGCCCAACCGCUUUGGGCUUCUAAGCCAACCUAGUCCCGUUACAGGAGCCUUAAACAGCCGCCUGCGGCACAAAAGGGACUACGGCAGACCAGGCGCGCCGUGCCGGAUUCGGCCACCCGAAUCCACCUGAAUCGCGCAGGGAGAUCCGAACCGCGUUCCAAAACGGCCGAGCCGGCAAGCAGCGCCUUCGGAUGUCUCUGAGCUCGACGGCUCCGCUGUGCAGAACCAAAGAGCCCAAGGCGCAGCGGCCCCACCGUGCCGCCGAGUCGCGGAUACCUACGGAGACUCGGAAAAGCUCCCUUGGCUCCGCGCAAGCCGCCUUUAAAACGCCCGCAGGCUUUCCGGAGGAUGCGCGUGCCCCAGGCCUCCAAGCUGCCCCGGGCUGACUUUGAGGCUGAGCGCUUUCCAUGCCGAUCUACGGGGAAAAGUGGCGGGUCUUUCGCCUAAAGAGAGAGGGGAGAGGAGAGGCGGAGGCGGAGGCGGAGGGGGGCAUUUUUCACGGAGUUCUUGGGGACUUUGGAUGGCGUUUCUUCGCAGACUUAGCCCCACAACACCUCCCAGACCAAAAUGCCUGAAAGUCCGAAGCUAUACUUGGCCCCACCAAGACCGUCGGUCUUAAGUAUUUUCUGAUGAUAUGUGUGUAAUGCGAUGUUUUUGUUCUUUCUUCUUCCCUUUCAGGAAUUCGCAAAAAGAAGCUGAGUGGAUUUUAAUUUAUUCCACUGACUCUCUUCCCCCAACAAUCCUUCCUUCCUUCCUGCCUGCCUGCCUGCCUGCCUGCCUGCCUGCCUGCCUGCCUUCCUUCCUUCCUUCCUUCCUUCCUUCCUUCCUUCCUUCCUUCCUUCCUUCCUUCCUUCCAAGGAAAUUAAGCAGGUGUUUGAGAAUAGGGAGGAAGAAAGAUUCGGGUUUCAGGAGACAAUUGGUUGAUUUUGGUCUGCCUCCUCUCUUUCCCACAGAUGGUUUCCUCUCUACUCAGUGGCAUCCAAAAACUCCCCAGAAAUAUCAAAUUGAGAACUGGGUCAAAUGAAGCCGCGGAAAAAGAGCCGCUAAUGUCGGCUGGAUCUUACUUUAUGGGUGUUCUUCCCACCACACCACACCUUUGUUUUGUUUUGUUUUGUUGGCGAGAGGGAGAAAAAAAUUAUCCAUCCCUGGGAAGUGGGACGGUGAUAGUCACAAGCUCCCUCUUUUUUUCCUUUUAAAACUUUAUGGCAUGCUGAAUGGGGGAACCGGGAGGGUGGAGAACAGCUCUCCUGUGAAAAUAAACUAAGCAGGGACAGAGGCGACAGGCGGAAUGAAUCAAACGGAGGGCCAUGAAAAAAAAAAAGCCGCUCCAAAUUUUAUCCCAGCUUCAGUCCUGGUUUUGGAGCAGGGAGGAAACCCGGUUCUAACUCUCCCUCAUCCCCUUCCCUUAAAAACACGAAGCAUUUAACAAUUAUCCCUUAAUCGGCUGGCAGGUUGGCCACAAAUGAUACCAUUAAACAUCAAAGACAUGCUUGGGACUUUAUCUUUUAGCCAUAAGAGGAUUAAUUUCUGUAAUUAGAGUGGGGAAAAUAUGUACAUAAAUAAGUAUCGCUCUCCCCAUCUUUUCCUCUUGAUCUUACGGAUUAUUAUCGGCGGUGAUGGGGGCGAUUCUUCAAGUUUCGUCUCUUUAUUUGAUAAAACGAGGAAAGAGGACUUGGGGACGCCGAAUCUCGCGUCCCUACCCGCCCAGGAGCCCGCCAGGAGAACCGGACCUCUUUUCCGAACAUCCAACAACGGUGCGGACAGAUGCCAGAAUAAGGCUGCUUUCUUCCCGAGGACCGGAGGGAGAGGUUAAUUUGGGAGGGUCAGCUGUGUUUGCCUUUGUUGCUCUUGUCUCUCCCUUCUCCCCAAGCUCAAGGCAGAGCUUCAUCCUCCGCCUUCCCGUAAAACCCGCCUGACCUUCGUUCUAACCUGUAUGAAUACCUCGUUUACCUAAUGACUUUGUGUCAGGCAGGCAGCAGGUCACUUUCCUUUUUAACCUUUCCCAUUGCUGCAGUAAGCAUUCUGGGCGAUAAUGAAUGGCUCUUGGAAUAAUCGAUGCCCAUUUUAUGAGCCCUGACAAACUCAGGAGAUGGACACCUUGUUGCGGGAACGUGGCCUCACCUUCACCAAGUGGCUUCCUCACGUCCGAUAAGAAACGCUUCUCCCAGCGAGCAGCUCAGCCGGUCCCUAAACUUCCCUCUGCAGAGGUAUCCUCAGAUGCUUAUGCCCUAAAGUUUCAACCUGAUAUUUUCCUUGGCACCGAUCUUCACAGAAAAGUGGAUACUGGAGGUGGGGUUGAGAAGAUUACAAGAUCUUGUGAUAGUUUUACAAAAGUAUUCCUAGGAAAGUUUAGACCAAGUUUAGACUAAGUUUAAAUCAAAGGAACCAAGAUGCAGAUUUGAUAAAGGAUCAGAAAAAGAAAUAAAAUUGACAAAAAUUUAAUUUGUUAAGGUUGCAGGAGAAAGACAGAAUGACUUACACCAUUUUCAGCAUCAGCCGGCCCUCCUCCUUCAUUCAAUCAAGGAAGGAUUUUAUUUUACUCUGUGAAGCUUUCCCUGUACAUGCGGGUGCUGCAUCAGCCAUGGAUUAUGUUGGACCUUGGGUAAUUUUAAACACAGUCACUGAUGACCUCAGAAUUAGUGGUGGGUUUCUACCGGUUUUCCCCGGUUCGGGCAAACCAAUAGUGGCAGUGGCAGGAGGCUCUGCCCACCCACCUGGACAUCAUCAUGGAUGCUCUGUGCAUGCACAGAAGAUUCUGAGCAUGUGCAGAAGCACCACGCGCACGCUCCCAAUUCCGAACCAGUAGCGAAGCUGCUAAAAGCAGGGGAGUUCCUUGCAGAAAAAUAGCUGGCAACCUUAAUUUCCUGUUGAGUAAUUAAAAAAAGAUUCCAGUGUUGGUUUUUCUACUGCUGGAGGAAUUAAAGAGCUGCAUAAAACAUGUGGAUAAGUAAGACAUGCAAUGAUUAAAUUUCUGGUAGAUUAUGGAUGGCAAAAUAAAGACCAUUAUUUAAGAUUGACCUAAGCAGGAUAUGUUUCCCCUUCUCCUUUCCUGUUGAUGUUUACAAAAAUAUAAUUGCACAGUCAGAAAGUGAGAACAAAUACGGCUUAAAACCAAAUAUGUCCAAAGAGUAUGCCUACAUGGCUUAUUACAUAGGAUGAAAGCAACAGUUUCACCAGUUGUUGGAAAACCUAAAACAAGUUUUACAAUACGUGAAAAGGAUAAUCUAUAAAUGAUUGCAAAACAGAUCGUGUCCCAUUUUGACUAUUACAGAUUCAGAACAGGAUGGCUUAGUUCUUUUAGGGUUUUUUUUGUUUUGUUUUGUUACAACAGUAUGUAGCUGUAUGAUAUGCUUUUUCUCUUUAUCGCCCACAGGAAACGUGCCACAGUUGAAUCUUGCUGCUAGAGAAGGGUUGCGAGGAAACAGUGCAUCCUUUGGUUUCAACCUCAAACUCUGGUCAUGCUCUUUUUGAGAGAUGAAUAUGUUCCCGUGAAGUUUACUCAUUUUACUUUCUAAGUAAAAACUUUUAAUUUAUAACUGUCUGUGUCACAAUUAACUCUUCUCUUAUACUCGACAUUUCUACAAAUGGAGGUGAUAACAGUAUGUUGCAUUACGUAGUGAUUCUGUUUACCGUUUCACUCACCUAUCAGCCAUGGUCUUUUUUACGAUUUUCCAUUUUUUGACCCCAUCCAAUUUUUUUGUCUCCCUCUCUCCCAACAACUACUCAAUAUCCUGUAGUCAGUAAACACACCCAGUUAUUGUUAUGGCUGAUUCUAACUUCCAUUGCAGCUUGUAUCUUUUUUCCUAAAUGAUUUUUUUUUCUAUUUUUGCAUAUCUAUAAGUUCCAACUGCAUUUGUAAAUCAGCACUCAUGCCUGCUAUUUUUUUUAAAUUUUCCAAUAUGAUUCAUAAAAAUAAUAUUUCAGUGUCUCUAUCCAGAAAUCUAGAGAGCCAGUCAUGAAUUCUUCUAAGCCACUCCAAUUAAAUUCUCCAUUUUAAUUAUAAUUUUCUUCUCCCCCAUUAGUCGUCAUUAGGGCCACAUGGUACAUAAAGUUAUCAUUAAGCUGAUCUGGGCAUUAUUCUUUCCCUUUAUUUAUUUCUUCCCCCUUCCUUCAGAUAUGUACAUAUAUAAUUCUGUAAAUUUUGCCAAGCUUGCAAGUAUAUAUGAGGAUGCACACUCAAAUAGUACAUUCCUUAUUAAUAUAUGAGGUGAUUCAAAAACAGAAUCAAAUAACAUUUGUAAGCGAGUAAAAUUAUUUUAAACCCAACACACCCAUACUAGUGUGCUGAUUGCAAUCCAGUUGUUGUAUUUUGCAUGAAAUGUAUUUGCUUCUCUUUUGUUUUUGUUUUUUUCAACUAAUGCAAUUUUUAUUAAAACACUUCUCUACAUCAAACUGGAAAUAAACUAAUUUGCUUCAC